rnacentral:rRNA from 1 species
AUUGAACGCUGGCGGCAGGCCUAACACAUGCAAGUCGAACGGUAACAGGAAGCAGCUUGCUGCUUUUCUGACGAGUGGCGGACGGGUGAGUAAUGUCUGGUAAACUGCCCGAUGGAGGGGGAUAACUACUGGAAACGGUAGCUAAUACCGCAUAACGUCGCAAGACCAAAGAGGGGGACCUUAGGGCCUCUUGCCAUCGGAUGUGCCCAGAUGGGAUUCGCUAGUAGGUGGGGUAACGGCUCACCUAGGCGACGAUCCCUAGCUGGUCUGCGAGGAUGACCAGCCACACUGGCACUGAGACACGGUCCAGACUCCUGCGGGAGUCAGCAGUGGGGAAUAUUGCACAAUGGGCGCAAGCCUGAUGCAGCCAUGCCGCGUGUAUGAAGAAGGCCUUCGGGUUGUAAAGUACUUUCAGCGGGGAGGACGGGAGUAAAGUUAAUACCUUUGCUCAUUGACGUUACCCGCAGAAGAAGCACCGGCUAACUCCGUG